UACGUAGGUGCAAGCGUUGUCCGGAAUUAUUGGGCGUAAGAGCUCGUAGGCGGUCUGUCGCGUCGGCUGUGAAAUCCCGAGGCUCAACCUCGGUCUGCAGUCGAUACGGGCAAACUAGAGUAUUGCAGGGAGACUGGAAUUCCUGGUGUAGCGGUGAAAUGCGCAGAUAUCAGGAGGAACACCGGUGGCGAAGGCGGUCUCUGGGCAAUAACUGACGCUGAGGAGCGAAAGCGUGGGAGCGAACAGG
rnacentral:rRNA from 1 species